rnacentral:pre_miRNA from 1 species
GGUUGGAUUACUGGGCGAAUACUCCUAUGGCAGAUAGCUUUGCCUAGAUAUGCAAGCAAAAUGCUUCUCUGCCAAAGGAGAUUUGCCCCGCAAUUCAUCC